AUUUCACAAACAAUUGCAGUCGUUAAUAAAUGCAGAAAAGCAUCAUCUACACGUUUCAUACGGUAUUCAGUUUAUAUGCAAACGCAUUUAAAUAUAUUUACCUCGAUACUCGACCAAGCUGUUGAAAAAUUAUAUUAAUUAGAACGAGAACAAGUAAGAUUAAUGUGUUGUUUUCACAUUUCUUUAAAUGGCUGCCAAUACCGCAUGUAAUAAAACAAUCGAAGCGCAUGCGCAUAAUAUAUGUUACACUCCACUAAACUAGUUGCAGCAAAGACAUUCACAGGCGUUCAUGUCACUUAUAUUCAUGAUAUUUCCAUAUGCGAGUGUGAUUGUAAACACAAGUUUCUGAAAACAGUGCGAAAAGGGGCAUUACGCAAAGCCAAUAAAUCUGCGCAGAUUUUUGUCAAUAUUGACAAUAAACUGCAUGUUUUCUUACCGUUAGUAAUCCGACAGUCCGUUGGUCACAUUGUGCAUUAGUCCGUUUAAGUUAUUAUUGCCUUACACUUUUCAAUAUAAAUUUAUGAACUUUAAACAAAAUAAGUAACUAACUAAGUAACUAUUUAACUGACUAACACGCGCGUUUUUUUCCCAAUAUCCGAGACAUUUUACUUUCGCACCUUGCCCUCAAUGUCUGGCUUUUAAAGUUUACCGCCUUUUUGCGAAUACAAUGACGUUUACAUAUGAAUUGCCCAAUGAAAAUUUCGGCGGGAUGACGUCAGGCGCCAAAACUGGCGCGUGGUUUUUCCCGGUAUAGACCCAGUGUGUCAACGCUGUAAAUGCAUUGUGGGAAACGGACUAUUUCCAGCAUGGCGCCCGUAAAGAUUAUGAACACGGAAGUAAAAAUAGUAAUAAAUUAUUAUCAAAAACAGGCCUCAUCAAACCGGGUCAGCCAUGAUAUAUUCUUGGAUGCAGUUUGUGCUUCAAAAGGAGCUACUUUUCAUGCCAGCCUAUCGAUACUAUGUGGGAACUGGGAUUCGGGAUGCUCUCCCACUGGUAUCAUAUGCAGAUCAGUGGUCACAAGAACGUACACAACAUCAUUAAUGUCAGCAAUAUAUAUCUCCAACUUCAAACACACAGCUUGCAAAAUCGCUGAAUAUUGCACAAAAGCAGCUUCGUUACAAACUUCCAGCAACUCGAAAUCCACAAGCAGUCUCGUUCCCCACCCACUUUGACUUCGUAGCGAAGGCAUGUUUUUUUUGGGAAACCGUUAACAUCUCACAACUAAACGUAUACUACGGAGAUUGACAAGUUGAAAAAUAAAUUACUGUAAUCACUUCCAAUUUGCGCACUAAGUUAAACUCCAGUUCCAGUUUGUCUUUAUUGUUGAAAUGUUACUCUACACAUUCGCUUUGAAAAUAGAGGUUGGCGUGUUGUUGGAAGUACAUGUACAUGUCGAAUGUGUUAUUGUAAAAACUAUUGGUAUUGUGUUUUUAGUGCAGACAUUGUAUUUAAGUUUCGAUUUCUAGCAUAAAUUUAUAUAUUUUGUUAAAUAAUUUGCGUUUGAAUGUGAUUGUUUGUUGCUUACUUGCGAACUAUUUUUUAUGUGUAAAUAUGCAUAGACGCUAGUGGAUAUGUAAUCAGGUUACCAUAUUUACAACAAUAAAAUUUAACGGCUGUU